GUCUGUUCCCUUUUUAAAGUCCAGCCAGGCGGGUCCAGGGCCUCUGUCCCACUCAUUCUCUCUCCGCCCUGCCUGGACAGGCGAGGUCCAGCGCCCAGCUCACAAGCCCUAUAGGCUAGCGGCUAUGAGUGAUCCCAACCUGGGGAUGAGAUAACAAGGACGUGGGGCCCUCAAGGCUCAAGCGAAAAAGCACGUGUCUUCUGAUACCCCUGCUGAUAUUCUGCGCUGUAACUCAGAGUAGGUCAGAGUGCACCCUCGAGCUUUAUUUACUGACUCUGUUCCAUUACAUAGGCUCUGCUGCUAUCUGAGACAUGCCCCUUACCUCCCUGUGCCUCAGUUUCAUCAUCUUUAACAUGGAGAUGCUAAUAGAACUUGCCUCAAAGAGUUGCUGUGGAAGAAUGGUGUCUGGUACACUGUAAGUGCUAUUAUUGUUACUAACAGGCUCUCACUAGCUCUGCUCCUGCCCCAGGAUCUUUUCCUGGGAAGUUUGCCUUGCUUUGGGCCUGCGGUCUGGCUCUGAGAUGCCCUCAGAGAGGAGGAACCAGAGAAGACUGGGAAGGCCCUGGAGGCUGUUGGGGGGUGGGCCUAUGUUCCUAGGAGCUCCCACUAUAGGAAUUGGGCCAGAAGGCAGUCAGACCUCCUGUCUGGGCCUGUUUUGUUGCCUGUAAAAGGGAACAGCAUUAUCUGCCUUUCUCCCUUAUUUUUUCAUCCAUUGCAUUUAUUGAGUACCCUUUACAUGGUGGGGACCAUGCUCAGGGACCUCUGGGAACACAGCUCAGACAGAGCCCUUACCAGGCCCUGUAGUUUCUAGAACAGUGAGGGAGAGACAUCAAAGAACCCACCAGUCCAGGAAAGAUUUCAAUUGCGGCAAGUGCUUUAAGGAGAGGAGCUGUGGGACUCCAAGUGUUUUUUAAAAAUAAAGAAAAGAACAACUAAGACUGAGGGACAUAAGACCAAGGUCAGUCAGCUGGGAAUGGGUGUGACUCGUCCCAGAAUAGAGCCCACUAGACCAGAGGCCUCUACUACCUCCUUUAAAACCUAGUUAUGGUCAGGUCACCGCUCUGCUCAGAACCAUCCAGUGGUUUCCAUUUAAUCCAGUGAAAGCCAAGUCGCUAGGAUGGCUCUAAGACAGUGUGCCUUCUCUCCAUCCCUCCCACUCCCUUUGCUCUAGCUACCCUGGCCUCCUUGCUCCCACUCCAGCUUCUCCAGCGGUCUCCUGCCUCAGGGCCUUUGUGUCUGCUGUUCCCUCUAACUGGGAUGCUUUCUCCCAGAUAUCCACCUGAUGACAGGGGCUUUGUUUUCUUCACUGCUGCAUCUCCACUACCUAGAAAACUGCCUGGCACAUGGUAGAUGUUCAGAAAGUGGUACUUGAAUGAAUAAAUGAACCCCUCAAGGAGAAAGGAUUUCCUGGCUGGAGCCCCAGAGCACAAGGAGAGGCUUGCCUGUGUGGAGCUACCUAUGGAGGCCAGAGUCCAAGAAUCUAGGCACAGAAGAAAGCCGAGAGAUCACAUCUUUGCUUGCGUGCCCUUCUAAAAGAUGAGGAAAUUGAGGUCCAGAGAGAGAAGUGACUUUUUCCAGGAAAAGCUAAACAUUUCUGCCCUUUCAAAUCCUUAAAGGAAAGAAGUGAUUGAAAAAUAAAACAUCAGAAUUAGAAACCUAAAUUAAAAGGCAAAUAACAAACGAAAUAGCCCUUUAAAAUAUGACAAAGGGUAAGUAUUUUACUUAUAUUUGACAACAACUUAAGAUCUCUCCCCCAUCCAUCAACAACUGGAUAAAAAAGCUAAACACCGAGAGGUUGAAACACAGAACCAAGUAGGAGACUCACAUGUGAGCUCUUCUCCCUCUUCCCAAUAAUAAAGGAAAUACUUAAUAAAGCAAAUGUGCCUUUGCUUUUGUUCUUUGUGGCCAACACAUUAGAAGAGAUUUAAUUUUAAAUGAGAAUGCCCAAGGCUGGUAAGGCUUGCAUCAAACACACAUCGCUGAGGAAG